CGCCGCGUGGAGGAUGAAGUCCCUUGGGAUGGUAAACUCCUUUCGAUCGGGACGAGUAAUGACGGUACCGGAAGAAGAAGCAACCGGCCUAACUCUGUGC
rnacentral:rRNA from 1 species